UUUCAUAAGGGAGCUACCAUUUGAUUUUUAUUGGGGGGCUAGGAUGAAAUUUGAAAAAAAUAGGCAGGACAGGAGUUUUGAGUAAAAAAAAAAGGCAGGAUGUGACACUUGAAAAAAAAAAGUCAGGACGACAAUUUAGGUAAAAAAAAAGUCAGGAUAAACUAAAAAAAAAAAAGGCAGGACCGAUUAGAGUGAAAAAUAAAAAGGCAGGACAGAGAUUACAGAUAAAAAAAAAUGCAGGACAAAAUUAUUCAUCCUAGCCCCUCC
rnacentral:lncRNA from 1 species